AAACUUGCCUACCUUAAACUCUAUUGGGACUGACAUCAUGUCUAAAAAUAGACUCAAUUAUCCUGAUUAUUUUAAUUUCUGUGGUAUAAAGAGAAAUGAUGCAAUGUGUUUAUAUUUUACCAUCUCACAAAUUUCAUAACUUGCUGGUUCUUUUUUUAUCAGUGCUGUUUAUUCAGCUUUUCCGGUUUUAAAAAAAUAUACACUUUUUUUUUUAACUUUUAAUGUUACAAAAGCAGAAGUUUUGAUUAAUUAAGAUAUCAUUAUGCAGUGCUGAAUUCACUGUUGCUAGUAAUAUAGAAAUAACAAAAUCUUGCGUAAAAAUGUAUGAUACUAUACAUGUACAUUUGUAUUAUUAAAUAUAAAAAAUGAAUAAUGAGAAUUAAUGAAUCUCUUUUUAGACUCUGUUUUAAUAUUCUGUACUGUUCAUUUGCAUUGUGUAAUGUAUAGAUUUGGUUACAUCAUGAGAUGAUCAAGUGUUGUGUGCCAGGCAUUGAUUACAUUAUAUGGGGAGGGCAUAUAUAUGUAUAUAAUGCUCCUCAUAGAAAAGAUGUAAACUCAAGUAUAAGGUUGUUUAUUCUUGAUUGUUUAAGUUGUACAGGGAUUUUUUGUUAAGACCUUGUCAUCAUGUGAAGUCUGUUGUUAUCAUUUACAUAUUAACUCUCUUUGAAUAAAGAUAUGAUAUUGUUGU
rnacentral:misc_RNA from 1 species